rnacentral:rRNA from 1 species
UGCUAAGGCCGAUGGCGACCGGCGCACGGGUGAGUAACACGUAUCCAACCUGCCGUCUACUCUUGGACAGCCUUCUGAAAGGAAGAUUAAUACAAGAUGGCAUCAUGAGUCCACAUGUUCACAUGAUUAAAGGUAUUCCGGUAGACGAUGGGAAUGCGUUCCAUUAGAUAGUAGGCGGGGUAACGGCCCACCUAGUCUUCGAUGGAUAGGGGUUCUGAGAGGAAGGUCCCCCACAUUGGAACUGAGACACGGUCCAAACUCCUACGGGAGGCAGCAGUGAGGAAUAUUGGUCAAUGGGCGAGAGCCUGAACCAGCCAAGUAGCGUGAAGGAUGACUGCCCUAUGGGUUGUAAACUUCUUUUAUAAAGGAAUAAAGUCGGGUAUGGAUACCCGUUUGCAUGUACUUUAUGAAUAAGGAUCGGCUAACUCCGUGCCAGCAGCCGCGGUAAUACGGAGGAUCCGAGCGUUAUCCGGAUUUAUUGGGUUUAAAGGGAGCGUAGAUGGAUGUUUAAGUCAGUUGUGAAAGUUUGCGGCUCAACCGUAAAAUUGCAGUUGAUACUGGAUAUCUUGAGUGCAGUUGAGGCAGGCGGAAUUCGUGGUGUAGCGGUGAAAUGCUUAGAUAUCACGAAGAACUCCGAUUGCGAAGGCAGCCUGCUAAGCUG